GCUGAUGUGGCUCAAUCCGGCAGAGCAACGGUUUUGUAAACCGUAGGUUGCAGGUUCGAUUCCUGUCAUCAGCACCA
rnacentral:tRNA from 4 species